CGCUCCCUGGGGUGUUGGCCAGUCUAUAAAGACCUCGAGCCGAUGCUUAUAUCCCCGGAGGGUUAUCGUAUUAUUGUGCGUAUGUCCGCUUGUCGGAAAACCUAAUAUAGUACCUAGCCCACCACCCUUGAACCUUGGGUUCAAGGCCUUUAUUCUUGACAGCGGCACAAUGGGGAGCUC
rfam:Oleispira antarctica strain RB-8, complete genome sequence.